AGAGUUUGAUCAUGGCUCAGAACGAACGCUGGCGGCAGGCCUAACACAUGCAAGUCGGACGCAUCCUUCGGGAUGAGUGGCGGACGGGUUAGUAACGCGUGGGAAUAUGCCCCUGGGUAAGGAACAACAGCUGGAAACGGCUGCUAAUACCUUAUGAUGUCUACGGACCAAAGAUUUAUCGCCCAGGGAUUAGCCCGCGUUGGAUUAGCUAGUUGGAGAGGUAACGGCUCACCAAGGCAACGAUCCAUAGCUGGUUUGAGAGGAUGAUCAGCAACACUGGGACUGAGACACGGCCCAGACUCCUACGGGAGGCAGCAGUGGGGAAUCUUAGACAAUGGGGGCAACCCUGAUCUAGCCAUGCCGCGUGAUCGAUGAAGGCCUUAGGGUUGUAAAGAUCUUUCGCCGGGGACGAUAAUGACGGUACCCGGAGAAGAAGUCCCGGCUAACUUCGUGCCAGCAGCCGCGGUAAUACGAAGGGGACUAGCGUUGUUCGGAAUUACUGGGCGUAAAGCGCGUGUAGGCGGAUCAAUUAGUCAGGGGUGAAAUCCCGGGGCUCAACCCCGGAACUGCCUUUGAUACUGUUGGUCUAGAGACCGGUAGAGGUGAGUGGAAUUCCGAGUGUAGAGGUGAAAUUCGUAGAUAUUCGGAGGAACACCAGUGGCGAAGGCGGCUCACUGGACCGGUACUGACGCUGAGACGCGAAAGUGUGGGGAGCAAACAGGAUUAGAUACCCUGGUAGUCCACACCGUAAACGAUGAAUGCCAGCCGUCGGGGGGCAUGCCCUUCGGUGGCGCAGCUAACGCUUUAAGCAUUCCGCCUGGGGAGUACGGCCGCAAGGUUAAACUCAAGGAUUGACGG
rnacentral:rRNA from 1 species